AGUGAACGCUGGCGGUAGGCCUAACACAUGCAAGUCGAGCGGCAGCACAGUAAGAGCUUGCUCUUACGGGUGGCGAGUGGCGGACGGGUGAGGAAUACAUCGGAAUCUACUUUUUCGUGGGGGAUAACGUAGGGAAACUUACGCUAAUACCGCAUACGACCUACGGGUGAAAGCAGGGGAUCUUCGGACCUUGCGCGAUUGAAUGAGCCGAUGUCGGAUUAGCUAGUUGGCGGGGUAAAGGCCCACCAAGGCGACGAUCCGUAGCUGGUCUGAGAGGAUGAUCAGCCACACUGGAACUGAGACACGGUCCAGACUCCUACGGGAGGCAGCAGUGGGGAAUAUUGGACAAUGGGCGCAAGCCUGAUCCAGCCAUACCGCGUGGGUGAAGAAGGCCUUCGGGUUGUAAAGCCCUUUUGUUGGGAAAGAAAAGCAGCAGGUUAAUACCCCGCUGUUCUGACGGUACCCAAAGAAUAAGCACCGGCUAACUCCGUG
rnacentral:rRNA from 1 species